rnacentral:misc_RNA from 1 species
AUCUUUAUUUUUAUAUGAAAAAAUUUUUUUUUUUUUAAGAGUGGGGUUUUAAAUAUAAAGUUUUCGCGAGACCAUAACCAAAGGUCAGGUUCGCUAAAAUCGGUAAUGAUCCUUCCGCAGGUUCACCUACGGAAA